GGAUGCGAUCAUACCAGCACUAAAGCACCGGAUCCCAUCAGAACUCCGAAGUUAAGCGUGCUUGGGUGAGAGUAGUACUAGGAUGGGUUACCUCCUGGGAAGUCCUCCUGUUGCAUUCC
rnacentral:rRNA from 2 species